UAAGCGGAAAAAGCUUGGUGCGCCCGCAUUACAGAUUAAUUAAAUUGCUAGAAUCAAGCUUUAGUUUAAAUAGAAUUUGGAAAACGCCUUAACGAAUAAGUCAAAUCACCAUCUUUAUAUUUUGUGUUUUCUUAAUUCAUUGAAUUUUAUGUUUAUAAAUAUAUUUUAGUUAUUUUUAAACAUUUUUAGGUAAUUGUAGUUACCAUGAAGCAGUUUUGAAUCGAGACCUUAAUAUUAAGUAAUACACUGGUUCGCACUUCCGAUAGACGCUACGUAAAGAGGUGUUUUUUUGCUAACAUUAAAUGUAUUAGUGCCCGGGUCAAUAUACAUUUCUUGGCCGGCCACACCUACAAAUAAUCUGAUGUAUCGACAUCACGCGGACUUUAUGCUUCUGAUUCUAUGUGGACUCGCUUGUGUAUACCUAACGUUAUGGUUAUCAAAAGUCGCCUGAAAAAAGUGUAAAACCUGAAAGUCAAACAGUUCUUAUCAUUUAAUUUUUAUCAACUUGGAAAGCCAUAAACAUACACGAAGGUUAAAGGAUUUUACAAAGUCUUACACAAGCCUAAAUAAGUCAAUGAGUAUAAAAUAGCAAACAGAAUUUUCCCGCUUCUAACGUAAAUGAACACAAAACAUGACGGAACUACAAGGAGACGAUUGGGACUUACCUUGCUCAGACGACGAGCUCUCUAAAGCGGGAACAACUAUCGGCAAAAACUGGGUCCUGGAGGCCUCGGAGCUAGAAGAACUUUUUAAUAAAAUAGAUAAAAACAGCACUUUGACCCUCGAGUGGAAGUGCCCUGGCAGACGAGCGCCUUCGCCUGUAAAUGUUAAAAAUGAAGCUAAAUUCGAAGCACCACAGUCUCCAGUAAAGGAAGAGAAGUCAGAUUUUGACUUUAUGGAUGAAGUUAGUUCACUAAGACUACGGGUGAGACGGGAAGGGGAGGAUACAUUACGGGGUUCAGCCAAGAAGAAGACUACAUCAUUUGAUGGUAUCCUGUCAAACAUUUUCAGGCACAAACGUAUUGAGCAGAUGGAGAAGCAGGCAAACACUCCGACUACAUCAGUUCCAAGCUCUUCCUGACCUUUGCCAAGUACUAGGAGCAGGCACAGUCUUCGGAAGACAUAGACUUGUGACAACAGAGUUUUUUCAGUCAUAAAAUAUACAUUGGUAAUCUCAGCAUUUUGUGGCAAAAUAGUUGAUCAAACACAUUUUAGAAAAAGGUCACUUAUGCGGACAAUAUAAUAAGAAUUAACGACUGGUAAAUAUGUAUACAUAUAAGCCGUUUUUAUUUGGGUAUGGUCUAGCAUAAAAAAUUGCUUUAGGUUCCCCUAACUUUGCAAUAUCUACAGGAAAGACGAGGGAUAACAGGAUCACGGACGCAAAUGAGUGCAGCAUACUAUAAAGUGUGUAUGACCAAUAUAAAAAAUUAAUAAAUUCAAAGGCAUAUAAGUUGUUUGAGAUGUUAUUGCAAAGUAUCUUAUGUCAACUACACAGGAUUGUUGACAGACUAAUGGAUUUGUUUCAACAUUCUUGCCAUGAAAACGGAACGAAAUAACCAAUUAGGUGGGUCCACACAGAGUGAGCAUACGCACGAGGCAAUUUCCUCGCACACAAACCGGCCAGUGUACAUCAAACAUCAAUCUUUGUCCGUUCCAACAAGGUUCAAGGUUAAUUGUCCAGGGUACAAUAUGGACAAUAAUAUCACCCUGAUUAUUCCAUACAAGACGGACCCAGUUAGAUGGAUAAAUAUAUUCAGUUAAAUUGAAAUUUAAAAAAGAUUUAUUUAUGAAUUAACCUCUCAAUUUUAUCGACAGCUGCAAUAAGCUAGGUCAGGAGUUACCAACUUUUGAGAAGAAAUGACCACAGUUAGUAAUUUCAGGAAUCUCAUAGAGCCGAAAAUGGUCUUAAUCAAUUGCCAUAAUAUGCCAAUGGAUUAAGACCAUAAUUGACCUUACGGGCACGAAGAAUGGUGCUAGUUCAGUGGUGUCACUUACGAAGUUGUAAUGAAGUAGAUAGCUGGCAGUCAUUUUAUUGACAAAUAGAAGUGCUGGAGUUGAAAAAUUAUAGAAAAGUUAAUUGUUUAGUUAAAAUCUAGCGCCUAAUCCUAAAAUAGUACAUUAAAUUAAAGAAUAUUAAUACAGGGUGAAAAAUUCAGAUGGGCCAUUAAUUGAAAUGAAUACUUUAAUUUUAGAAUUGAAAAAUUUUAAUUUCACGGGAGACCAAAUGUUAUAUUAGUACCGUAAAAUGUGCCUACUUUGCUUAGAUAGUGUCCCAAAUAUUAUUUUUAUAACUAUUAUAGGAUGAUAUAUAAUAUGCCGAUUUUAAUUAGACCACUACUUUCAUGUUGUAACACUUAAAUGGGGUUGUGAUAAAUAUACUAUUAAUGUAUAUAUAAAAACUGUUGUAGCACACAAUUACCCAGUGUGACGACCUGUCUGGCCUAGUGGGUAGUGACUCCCACUAUGAAGCCGAUGGGGAAUUCAAAUCCUGGUAAGGGCAUUUAUUUGUAUGAUGAACAUGGAUAUUUGUUCCUGAGUCAUGGGUGUUUAUUUUUAAUAUUUAUAUAUUACUUAUACAUAUAUCGUUGUUUAGGUACCCACAACACAAGCCACGGUAGUAAGUCUAUUUUUCUAUAAAUUAGGCGGGUCCACACAGAGCGAACAUACGUGCGAGUCGAUUUCCUGGCGCACAAAACGGCCAGUGUAGACGUGCCUCAGCCGAGGCGGUGCGCGCGUCUACACUGGCCAGUUUUCACUUAUAGUAGUUUUUAAUUUGGGGCUAUAAUAAAGUUACUAAAAUGGUUUUUAUGUAUUGUAAGUAAAAUGCAGACUGUUACAUAAUAAAUAUGGAUGUUAAACAAAAAUAUUUAUAAAGAAUAAAUUUAUCAUUGUCAAGUA